rnacentral:rRNA from 1 species
CUCACCCUUCAUAUCCAUAAACACCUGUGCACAGUCGGACCCUUGAGUCUUUCGGGACUCCUGGUGUCUUGACGAUCUUAUCAAACAACAAUGUAACCAAUGUAAUCAUUAUUAUAACAUAAUAAAACUUUUAACAACGGAUCUCUUGGCUCUCGCAUCGAUGAAGAACGCAGCGAAAUGCGAUAAGUAAUGUGAAUUGCAGAAUUCAGUGAAUCAUCGAAUCUUUGAACGCACCUUGCACUCUUUGGUAUUCCGAAGAGUAUGCCUGUUUGAGUGUCAUGAAAUCUUCAACCAUUCUGUUGGGUGUUUACGCCUGGCGGUUUGGAUUGGACUUGGGUGUUUGUCGGACAAGUGAUUGUCUGACUCACCUUAAAAGGAUCAGUGGAUCUAUGUCUUGGACUUUUGCAUUGCAAUUGGUUUGACUUGGCGUAUAAGUAUUUCGCUAAGGACAGUGCUUCGGUGCUGGGCAUUGCUUUUCAACCGGACUUUGGAAAUCGCUUUCUAACCCUAAUUUUAUUUGACAUCUGGCCUCAAAUCAGGUACGA